GACGAACCGAGCGAACGUUGUUCGGAAUCACUGGGCUUAAAGGGCGCGUAGGCGGGCUGCCGCGUCCGGGGUGAAAUCCUCCGGCUCAACCGGAGAACGGCCCCGGGUACGGGCGGCCUCGAGGGGGGUAGGGGCGUGCGGAACUGCGAGUGUAGAGGUGAAAUUCGUAGAUAUUCGCAAGAACACCAGUGGCGAAGGCGGCUCACUGGCCCGAUACUGACGCUGAGGCACGAAAGCGUGGGGAGCAAACAGG
rnacentral:rRNA from 1 species